CUGUUACUCCCUCUGUUCGGAAUUACUUGUCGUAGAAAUGGAUGUAUCUAGAUGUAUUUUAGUUCUAGAUACAUUCAUUUCCGAGACAAGUAAUUCCGAACGGAGGGAGUACAUC
rnacentral:pre_miRNA from 1 species